rnacentral:rRNA from 1 species
GACGAACGCUGGCGGCGUGCUUAACACAUGCAAGUCGAACGGAAAGGCGCUGCGCUUGUUGGGUGCUCGAGUGGCGAGGGGGGGAGUAACACGUGAGUAACAUGCCCUUAACUUUGGGAUAACUUUAGGAAACUGGGGCUAAUAUCGGAGAGGAGCUCCUGCAGCAUGGGGGGGGAUGGAAAGUGUCGGCCGUGGGGGAUGGACUCGCGGCUUAUCAGCUUGUUGGUGGGGUAGUGGCUUACCAGGGCUUUGACGGGUAGCCCGCCUGAGAGGGUGACCGGCCACAUGGCGCCUGCGAUACGGCCCAGUCUCCUACGGGAGGCAGUAGUGGGGAAUAUUGCACAAUGGGCGCAAGCCUGUGGCAGCAACGCUCCGUGCGGGAUGACGGCCUUCGAGUUGUAAACCGCUGUCGCCGUAGCCAAAGCGUUAUUGACGGUAAUGGGUAAAGAAGCACCGGCUAACUACGUG